GAUCCUGGCCCAUAGCGAACGCUGGCGGCAGGCCUAAUACAUGCAAGUCGAGCGGUCCCUUCGGGGGCAGCGGCGGACGGGUGAGUAACGCGUGGGAACGUGCCCUUUGGUACGGAACAACUGAGGGAAACUUCAGCUAAUACCGUAUGUGCCCUUCGGGGGAAAGAUUUAUCGCCAUUGGAGCGGCCCGCGUUGGAUUAGGUAGUUGGUGAGGUAAAGGCUCACCAAGCCUACGAUCCAUAGCUGGUCUGAGAGGAUGAUCAGCCACACUGGGACUGAGACACGGCCCAGACUCCUACGGGAGGCAGCAGUAGGGAAUCUUGCGCAAUGGGCGAAAGCCUGACGCAGCCAUGCCGCGUGAAUGAUGAAGGUCUUAGGAUUGUAAAAUUCUUUCACCGGGGACGAUAAUGACGGUACCCGGAGAAGAAGCCCCGGCUAACUUCGUGCCAGCAGCCGCGGUAAUACGAAGGGGGCUAGCGUUGCUCGGAAUUACUGGGCGUAAAGGGAGCGUAUGCGGAUAGUUUAGUCAGAGGUGAAAAGCCCAGGGCUCACCCUUGUAAUUGCCUUUGAUACUGGCUAUCUUUGACUAUGGAAGAGGUAUGUGCAACUCCCAGUGUAGAGGUGAAUCUCGGAUAUAUUCCGAACACUGCCGAUGUCUAAUGCAAUUGCUGUUUCAUCUAUGAUGCUGAUGUCUCUAUGCUGGGGUGGAUGAUGAUUAAUGCCCUGGUUUUCAUCUCAUUCCUGAUGACUGCUAUGUUGUCGCAAGGUCAGCGUGUGUUGGGGUCCACAUAGGUCAUUCUUCUCCCGGUCUGGUGGAUAUCAGUUGUAAUAGAAAUAAAUCUCAUGUCUUGGUGUGGGACCCUCCCUUCCUCGGGGUACAUAGUGGUUCUACUACGUAAUAUGCAUUGUCAAAUUUUUAACCCUUUGUGUAUUACUCCUGGACCCAAAUAAAGCUUCCGGGUUCUCUCCUUUAAAGACAGUAUUCUAAAGUAA
rnacentral:rRNA from 1 species